GACAGAGGGUGCAAACGUUUGUUCGGAAUUACUGGGCGUAAAGCGUGUGUAGGCGGCCAUAUAAGUCGGAUGUGAAAGCCCUGGGCUCAACCCAGGAAGUGCACUCGAUACUGUAUGGCUCGAGUACUGGAGAGGUUGGUGGAAUUCUCGGUGUAGAGGUGAAAUUCGUAGAUAUCGAGAGGAACACCGGUGGCGAAGGCGGCCAACUGGACAGAUACUGACGCUGAGACACGAAAGCGUGGGGAGCAAACAGG
rnacentral:rRNA from 1 species